CUACGGGAGGCAGCAGUGGGGAAUAUUGCACAAUGGGGGAAACCCUGAUGCAGCGACGCCGCGUGAAGGAUGAAGGAUUUCGGUUCGUAAACUUCUAUCAGCAGGGAAGAUAGUGACUGUACCUGACUAAGAAGCCCCGGCUAACUACGUGCCAGCAGCCGCGGUAAUACGUAGGGGGCAAGCGUUAUCCGGAAUUACUGGGUGUAAAGGGUGCGUAGGUGGGUACUUAAGUCAGAUGUGAAAGCCCGGGGCUCAACCUCGGGACUGCAUUUGAAACUGGGUAACUAGAAUACGGAGAGGUAAGUGGAAUUCCUAGUGUAGCGGUGAAAUGCGUAGAUAUUAGGAGGAACACCAGUGGCGAAGGCGACUUACUGGACUGUUAUUGACACUGAGGCACGAAAGCGUGGGGAGCGAACAGGAUUAGAUACCCCUGUAGUC
rnacentral:rRNA from 1 species